UACGGGGGGAGCAAGCGUUGUUCGGAUUUACUGGGCGUAAAGGGCGCGUAGGCGGCCACCGCAAGUCAGUUGUGAAAUCUCUGGGCUUAACCCAGAAAGGUCAACUGAUACUGCGGGGCUAGAGUGCAGAAGGGGCAACUGGAAUUCUCGGUGUAGCGGUGAAAUGCGUAGAGAUGCGGAGGAACACCGAUGGCGAAGGCAGCCCCCUGGGCCAAUACUGACGCUCAGGCACGAAAGCGUGGGGAGCAAACAGG
rnacentral:rRNA from 1 species